rnacentral:rRNA from 1 species
GGAGUGAACGCUGGCGGUAGGCCUAACACAUGCAAGUCGAACGGCAGCACAGUGGUAGCAAUACCAUGGGUGGCGAGUGGCGGACGGGUGAGGAAUACAUCGGAAUCUACCUUUUCGUGGGGGAUAACGUAGGGAAACUUACGCUAAUACCGCAUACGCCCUUCGGGGGAAAGCCGGGGAUCGCAAGACCUGGCGCGGAUAGAUGAGCCGAUGUCGGAUUAGCUAGUUGGUGAGGUAAUGGCUCACCAAGGCGACGAUCCGUAGCUGGUCUGAGAGGAUGAUCAGCCACACUGGAACUGAGACACGGUCCAGACUCCUACGGGAGCAGCAGUGGGAAUAUGGACAAUGGGCGCAAGCCUGAUCCAGCCAUACCGCGUGGGUGAAGAAGGCCUUGGUGUAAAGUCCCGUUUGUUGGAAAGAAAGACAAGUCGGUUAAUACCCGGUUGUUCUGACGUACCAAAGAAUAAGCACCGGCUAACUUCGUACGCCAGCAGCCGACGGUAA